rnacentral:rRNA from 1 species
UACGGAGGGUGCAAGCGUUAAUCGGAAUUACUGGGCGUAAAGCGCGCGUAGGCGGUUUGAUAAGUCGAUUGUGAAAUCCCCGGGCUCAACCUGGGAAUUGCAGUCGAGACUGUCAGACUAGAGUGUGGGAGAGGGUGGUGGAAUUCCCGGUGUAGCGGUGAAAUGCGUAGAUAUCGGGAGGAACAUCAGUGGCGAAGGCGGCUCACUGGACCAUAACUGACGCUGAGGCGCGAAAGCUAGGGGAGCAA